UUCAGGCCGGGAUGGGGGCCUGGGGGGCGGGGGCCCGAGGAGGUGCGGGGCGGGGAGGGAGCUCGGGAGGCACCGGGCGCCGUUAGCGCCCUGGCAUCGCUGUUUUGUUGUUGGGUCACGAGUGCGCCUCUGCACGCAGGCGCCGCCGCCGCCCCGGAGUUGUGUGCAGAGCUGACUUUUGGAGGGCUGAGUUGCAGGCGGCGGGCGCAUCCCGGCGAUGGCGGGGCAGGAGGGAGGGAAGGAGGAGGGGGUGGGGAGGGAGGUGCAGAUUUGCACGGCUGGCCUCAGCGGGAGGCGCGGAAAUGCAAGCCGAGCUUGCUGGCGAGGAAGCCCCCGGGGCCUGGCACCCCCCCCCAAAACGACCCCCCACCUCAGUCCCUGCUCCUUUACCCACGGCUUUCUUCAGACACUCGAUCCAAUUACCUGCGUUGGCGACCCACAUACAAAGCAUUUUGUAUAUGAGGAAGAAAUUGACGUUCAGGAAGGAGAUACCCACAGAAUCGGACCUAGCGCUCCUAACGCAGCUCCCAAACGAGCCAAAGGCCGACUGAGCCCCUCUCCUCCCAGAGGCAGAGAAGGAAGAAGAGAGGAGGAACAGCUCUGCUGGUGCUGAUGGGCAUGCUCUGGGCCUGGCCUGAAGAUGGAACAAGUUUAGGACCAGAACCCAAGACUGUAGAGAAAGCCAGGCUUUCUCCACUUACAGUAGCUCCUGACUUUAGGAGAACUUGCUUUUAAGCAAGGCCCCUCACUCUUGUUAUCUCUCUGAAUUCUUUUUUUAUUGUUGUUGUUCCCCCACCACCACCAGGUAUCGAACUCACAACCUUGCACUUGCCAGGCAGGCGCUGUGCCGCUGAGCUAAAUCCCCAGCCCCCUAUCUCUCUGAAUUCUUGCCAAAGCUCUGUGAGGAAGGGGUUUUAAUUCCCCACUUUCAAAGCUUAAGCUCAAAGAGAGAUCAAGUUACUGGAACAAAUUUUACAGCUGUGAAACAGCCGCCAUAGGAUUUGAACCCAGCGCUUGUAGGACUCCAAAGCUCACAAGGGUGAACGCUGCGUAAGCCUCCCUGCAGGGCUGUGCCAUCGAGCAUGUUGGAAAUAAUGUGUAUCUCCACUUAGGCAGGCACCUCUACCCGAAUCCUGGCUUUUGAGCACUUGGAGUAUGGGUACUGGGAUUAAAGGUCUUUGUGUUAUUGUGCUGGGGAUUGAACCCACGGCCACACAGGCUAAGCAUGCCCUCUGCCAUUGCACUAUACCUCGAGCACAAAUUUUAAUAAAAAUUAAACAGUGUAACCCCAGA